AGGGAAUAGAUACCCGGGUAGUCCACGCCCUAAACGAUGUCGACUAGGUGUUCGGUGAGGAGACUCAUUGAGUACCGCAGCUAAACGCGUGAAGUCGACCGCCUGGGGAGUACGGUCGCAAGAUUAAAACUCAAAGGAAUUGACGGGGACCCGCACAAGCGGUGGAUGAUGUGGAUUAAUUCGAUGCAACGCGAAAAACCUUACCUACCCUUGACAUGUACGGAACCCUGCUGAGAGGUGGGGGUGCUCGAAAGAGAGCCGUAACACAGGUGCUGCAUGGCUGUCGUCAGCUCGUGUCGUGAGAUGUUGGGUUAAGUCCCGCAACGAGCGCAACCCUUGUCAUUAGUUGCUACGCAAGAGCACUCUAAUGAGACUGCCGGUGACAAACCGGAGGAAGGUGGGGAUGACGUCAAGUCCUCAUGGCCCUUAUGGGUAGGGCUUCACACGUCAUACAAUGGUCGGUACAGAGGGUUGCCAAGCCGCGAGGUGGAGCCAAUCCCAGAAA
rnacentral:rRNA from 1 species